rnacentral:ribozyme from 12 species
AUGAUAAAUCAGUGGACACCUGUCCAACUUCUUGUUUUUGUUACUUUUUCCCUUUCUUUUUUUCUCUCCUCCCCCUUUCUUAAAAGCGGUACUAUCAACAGCACAAUAAGCAGGCAAAUA